rnacentral:rRNA from 3 species
GAGUUUGAUCAUGGCUCAGAUUGAACGCUGGCGGCAGGCCUAACACAUGCAAGUCGAACGGUAACAGAAAGCAGCUUGCUGCUUUGCUGACGAGUGGCGGACGGGUGAGUAAUGUCUGGGAAACUGCCCGAUGGAGGGGGAUAACUACUGGAAACGGUAGCUAAUACCGCAUAACGUCGCAAGACCAAAGAGGGGGACCUUAGGGCCUCUUGCCAUCGGAUGUGCCCAGAUGGGAUUAGCUAGUAGGUGGGGUAACGGCUCACCUAGGCGACGAUCCCUAGCUGGUCUGAGAGGAUGACCAGCCACACUGGAACUGAGACACGGUCCAGACUCCUACGGGAGGCAGCAGUGGGGAAUAUUGCACAAUGGGCGCAAGCCUGAUGCAGCCAUGCCGCGUGUAUGAAGAAGGCCUUCGGGUUGUAAAGUACUUUCAGCGGGGAGGAAGGGAGUAAAGUUAAUACCUUUGCUCAUUGACGUUACCCGCAGAAGAAGCACCGGCUAACUCCGUGCCAGCAGCCGCGGUAAUACGGAGGGUGCAAGCGUUAAUCGGAAUUACUGGGCGUAAAGCGCACGCAGGCGGUUUGUUAAGUCAGAUGUGAAAUCCCCGGGCUCAACCUGGGAACUGCAUCUGAUACUGGCAAGCUUGAGUCUCGUAGAGGGGGGUAGAAUUCCAGGUGUAGCGGUGAAAUGCGUAGAGAUCUGGAGGAAUACCGGUGGCGAAGGCGGCCCCCUGGACGAAGACUGACGCUCAGGUGCGAAAGCGUGGGGAGCAAACAGGAUUAGAUACCCUGGUAGUCCACGCCGUAAACGAUGUCGACUUGGAGGUUGUGCCCUUGAGGCGUGGCUUCCGGAGCUAACGCGUUAAGUCGACCGCCUGGGGAGUACGGCCGCAAGGUUAAAACUCAAAUGAAUUGACGGGGGCCCGCACAAGCGGUGGAGCAUGUGGUUUAAUUCGAUGCAACGCGAAGAACCUUACCUGGUCUUGACAUCCACGGAAGUUUUCAGAGAUGAGAAUGUGCCUUCGGGAACCGUGAGACAGGUGCUGCAUGGCUGUCGUCAGCUCGUGUUGUGAAAUGUUGGGUUAAGUCCCGCAACGAGCGCAACCCUUAUCCUUUGUUGCCAGCGGUCCGGCCGGGAACUCAAAGGAGACUGCCAGUGAUAAACUGGAGGAAGGUGGGGAUGACGUCAAGUCAUCAUGGCCCUUACGACCAGGGCUACACACGUGCUACAAUGGCGCAUACAAAGAGAAGCGACCUCGCGAGAGCAAGCGGACCUCAUAAAGUGCGUCGUAGUCCGGAUUGGAGUCUGCAACUCGACUCCAUGAAGUCGGAAUCGCUAGUAAUCGUGGAUCAGAAUGCCACGGUGAAUACGUUCCCGGGCCUUGUACACACCGCCCGUCACACCAUGGGAGUGGGUUGCAAAAGAAGUAGGUAGCUUAACCUUCGGGAGGGCGCUUACCACUUUGUGAUUCAUGACUGGGGUGAAGUCGUAACAAGGUAACCGUAGGGGAACCUGCGGUUGGAUCACC